GAUGAACGCUGGCGGCGUGCCUAAUACAUGCAAGUCGAGCGAACAGACGAGUAGCUUGCUCCUCUGACGUUAGCGGCGGACGGGUGAGUAACACGUGGAUAACCUACCUAUAAGACUGGGAUAACUUCGGGAAACCGGAGCUAAUACCGGAUAAUAUAUUGAACCGCAUGGUUCAAUAGUGAAAGACGGUUUUGCUUUCACUUAUAGAUGGAUCCGCGCCGCAUUAGCUAGUUGGUAAGGUAACGGCUUACCAAGGCAACGAUGCGUAGCCGACCUGAGAGGGUGAUCGGCCACACUGGAACUGAGACACGGUCCAGACUCCUACGGGAGGCAGCAGUAGGGAAUCUUCCGCAAUGGGCGAAAGCCUGACGGAGCAACGCCGCGUGAGUGAUGAAGGUCUUCGGAUCGUAAAACUCUGUUAUUAGGGAAGAACAAAUGUGUAAGUAACUAUGCACGUCUUGACGGUACCUAAUCAGAAAGCCACGGCUAACUACGUG
rnacentral:rRNA from 1 species